rnacentral:misc_RNA from 1 species
GAUGAAGAACGUAGUGAAAUGCGAUACUUGGUGUGAAUUGCAGAAUCCCGUGAACCAUCGAGUCUUUGAACGCAAGUUGCGCCCGAAGCCUCGGCUAAGGGCACGUCUGCCUGGGCGUCACGCAUCGCGUCUCCCCCAAACCGCCAAGGCGGAGGGGAAGGAAGAUGGCUUCCCGUGCCUCACCCGGGCGCGGUUGGCCUGAAUUUGGAGCCCGCGGCACUUAGCUCUCGCGGCGAUAGGUGGUGAACAAGGCCUUGGCCGUGCAAACAACCCGCUGCGAAGCUCUAUGUCACGUGCGCUCGUCGGACCCUUUGAAGUUGCCUUUGGUGACUUAAAACCUUUGCGACCCAAGGUCAGGCGGGGCUACCCGCUGAAUUUAAGCAUAUCAAUAAGCGGAGGA